rnacentral:lncRNA from 1 species
AAACUUUAUUCAUAACACAUCUUAAAAUACGAACGUUGUACAGAUGUACAAAAAUACAUUUUUCUUUAUAUCCUUAUUCUAUAAGCUUUUCUCCAUUAAAACAAUAUUUUUUAACCUUUUAAACAUUUUUGCUAAAACUAAGACACAAACACACACAUUAGAUCAGGCAUACACAGUCAGGAUCAUCUAUAUCACAGUCUUCCACCACCACAUCUUGUUCCCCACUGGAAGAUCUUCAGGUGCAAUAAACAUGAAGCUGUCAUCUCCUGUGAUAAUAAUGCUUUCUUCUGGAAUAUGUCCUGCAGGAACUGCCUGAGGUUGUUUUACAAUUAACUUUUUUCUAUAUAAGUAGAAGGAGUAUACUCUAAAGUAAUGCUAAAAAGUAUAGCAUAGUAAAUAUAUAAACCAGUAACACAGUCAUUUACUAUCUUGUUUUUGUUCAAACAUUUAAGUUAGGUGCAGUGGCUCGUGCCUGUAAUCCCAGCACUUUGGGAGGCUGAAGUGGGAGGACUGCUUGAAACCAGGAGUUUGAGAACAGCCUGGGCAACACAGCGAGUCCUCUUCUCUACAGAAAAAAAAAAAUACAAAAAUUAACUGGGUGUGGUGGGGCACACCUGUAGUCCCAGGUAUCCAGGAGGCUGAGGUGGGAGAAUUGCUUGAGCCCAGGUGUUAGUGGCUGCCACUGCACUCCAGCCUGGGCAACUGAGCAAGACCUCAUCUCUUAAAAAAAAAAAUUAUUGAGCAUUUUUUUAUGGGACAAGCACCGUGCAAGGUGCUGGGACAUAAGAGUAAUUACAACAAAGUCCCUCAAGGAGCUCAUAGUCUAAUGGUAAACCACAGAGCUAACAGAGGCACACAGUGGUAAAUGACUUACCCAAUGAGGUGGAAAUAGCUAGGUAUGUGGAAACCUGGGACUAGAGCUGGAGAGAGGGCACGGUAGAACUUACUGUAAGUAAAACCCCUUUGAUUGAAGAGCUGGGCUGCAUACAGAAACACAUUACAAAAUCUGCUUGCAAAAACCUUCAGUUUCCAGUUUUCCCCACAAUUGAAUUUAUGUCUCACAAUGAAUUAAUCUAUCAUUUGAUAGCAUUUCUAUACUUGGCCCCAAAGCCUUGGAGCAUGCCAUCAAUCUGUUGAGACACAGCAAUUUAGUAGACAGCUUAAAAUCAAGAAGUAUCUGACUCCAAUUUCAGCAUUAAGAACCAUAUUAAAACACUUCAGUUAAAUCAAUGAAUGUAAAUGUACAGCACAUUUAUGAUACUUCUACAUGUAGCAAUUUCUUUUGUGAUAUAUGACAUAAUCCCUGAAGGAAAGGGUAGAGCCUGCAAACAACCGUCCAUUUCAGGCCUGACUGUCAUUUUCAUGACACCCUUUGUGACGAAGCUAUUUCAGGAGGCAAGAUGUCUAUUCCGAUGACAAAAAGCAGUGCAUAAUUAUACAUGGAGUUGUUUUCAAAUGUGGAAACCAGAAUUAUUCAGGAAUCUAAGUCGUGAACUACUCAAAAAUAGUACUGGUGGUAAUGCUGCUACUAACCGAAAACAAGAGCACUCCAUGUCCAUUGCUGUAAGAAUCAAAUGUGAUGUGUAAUUCUCCGCAGAGGAUGUUCCCCCAAAACCUCAACAAUACCUGAAUUCUCAAAUGUUAUCAGUUGCUCAUGUCAAGCAAUUCUUCACCUUGCUGAGGAUUUUCUUCUUCUUCAGGGUGUUCUGGAUGUCUGCUCUCAGAUGAAGUCCCAGUGCUCUCAGAUGAAGUCCCGGCACUCUCAGACGUGUAGUUAGCUUCGUAAUCCUUCUUCGAUAGACACAAAUAGGCGUCAACAGGUCCGUCGUUGUUACUUAAACGUAAUGAGAAAGAGUCUUCAGAAAUUGGAAUUUCCAGUGUGAUUUCUACUGGCAAUUUAGCGACAAAAACGGUCUGUUCCUGGAAGCGUUCCAAGUUGUGAAUGUCUUCAAGCGUCACAUAUGCUAGUUUUCCCAAUUCUUUGUCAUUUGUUAACUCA